AACGAACGCUGGCGGCAUGCCUAACACAUGCAAGUCGAACGAGAUCUUCGGAUCUAGUGGCGCACGGGUGCGUAACGCGUGGGAAUCUGCCCUUGGGUUCGGAAUAACUCAGAGAAAUUUGAGCUAAUACCGGAUGAUGUCGAAAGACCAAAGAUUUAUCGCCCAGGGAUGAGCCCGCGUAGGAUUAGCUAGUUGGUGGGGUAAAGGCCUACCAAGGCGACGAUCCUUAGCUGGUCUGAGAGGAUGAUCAGCCACACUGGGACUGAGACACGGCCCAGACUCCUACGGGAGGCAGCAGUGGGGAAUAUUGGACAAUGGGCGAAAGCCUGAUCCAGCAAUGCCGCGUGAGUGAUGAAGGCCUUAGGGUUGUAAAGCUCUUUUACCCGGGAUGAUAAUGACAGUACCGGGAGAAUAAGCCCCGGCUAACUCCGU
rnacentral:rRNA from 1 species